CUGCGGCAGGCUUAAACAUGCAAGUCGAACGAAGAGUUGGUGCUUGCACUAACACUUAGUGGCGAACGGGUGAGUAAUACUUGGGAAUCUGCCUUGUAGCGGGGGAUAACGUUUCGAAAGGAACGCUAAUACCGCAUACGUCCUACGGGAGAAAGGAGGGGAUCUUCGGACCUUCCACUAUAAGAUGAGCCCAAGCGAGAUUAGCUAGUUGGUAAGGUAAAGGCUUACCAAGGCGACGAUCUCUAGCUGGUCUGAGAGGAUGAUCAGCCACACUGGGACUGAGACACGGCCCAGACUCCUACGGGAGGCAGCAGUGGGGAAUAUUGGACAAUGGGCGAAAGCCUGAUCCAGCCAUGCCGCGUGUGUGAAGAAGGCCUUCGGGUUGUAAAGCACUUUAAGCGAGGAGGAAUGGCUCUGGGUUAAUACCCUUGAGCAGUGACGUUACUCGCAGAAUAAGCACCGGCUAACUCUGUGCCAGCAGCCGCGGUAAUACAGAGGGUGCAAGCGUUAAUCGGAAUUACUGGGCGUAAAGCGCGCGUAGGCGGUUACGUAAGUUGGAGGUGAAAUCCCCGAGCUCAACUUGGGAAUUGCCUUCAAAACUGCGUGGCUAGAGUGUGGGAGAGGAAGGUAGAAUUCCAGGUGUAGCGGUGAAAUGCGUAGAUAUCUGGAGGAAUACCGAUGGCGAAGGCAGCCUUCUGGCCUAACACUGACGCUGAGGUGCGAAAGCAUGGGGAGCAAACAGGAUUAGAUACCCUGGUAGUCCAUGCCGUAAACGAUGUCUACUAGCCGUUGGGGGACUUGAUCCUUUAGUGGCGCAGCUAACGCAUUAAGUAGACCGCCUGGGGAGUACGGUCGCAAGACUAAAACUCAAAUGAAUUGACGGGGGCCCGCACAAGCGGUGGAGCAUGUGGUUUAAUUCGAUGCAACGCGAAGAACCUUACCUGGCCUUGACAUGUCUGGAAUCCUGUAGAGAUACGGGAGUGCCUUCGGGAAUCAGAACACAGGUGCUGCAUGGCUGUCGUCAGCUCGUGUCGUGAGAUGUUGGGUUAAGUCCCGCAACGAGCGCAACCCUUGUCCUUAGUUGCCAGCACGUAAUGGUGGCAACUCUAGGGAGACUG
rnacentral:rRNA from 1 species